GAUGAACGCUGGCGGCGUGCCUAAUACAUGCAAGUCGAGCGAACGGACGAGAAGCUUGCUUCUCUGAUGUUAGCGGCGGAUGGGUGAGUAACACGUGGAUAACCUACCUAUAAGACUGGGAUAACUUCGGGAAACCGUAGCUAAUACCGGAUAAUAUUUUGAACCGAAUGGUUCAAAAGUGAAAGACGGUCUUGCUGUCACUUAUAGAUGGAUCCGCGCUGCAUUAGCUAGUUGGUAAGGUAACGGCUUACCAAGGCAACGAAGCAUAGCCGACCUGAGAGGGAUGUCGACCACACAGGAACUGAGACACGGUCCAAACUCCUACGGAAGGCAGCAGUAGGGAAUCUUCCGCAAUGGGCGAAAGCCUGACGGAGCAACGCCGCGUGGAUGAUGAAGGUCUUCGUAUCGUAAAACUCUGUUAUUAGGGAAGAACAUAUGUGUAAGUAACUGUGCACAUCUUGACAGUACCUAAUCAGAAAGCCACGGCUAGCUACGUG
rnacentral:rRNA from 1 species